GAUGAACGCUAGCGGCAGGCUUAACACAUGCAAGUCGAACGGCAGCGGACCUUCGGGUGCCGGCGAGUGGCGAACGGGUGAGUAAUAUAUCGGGAACGUACCUUUCAGUGGGGGAUAACGUAGCGAAAGUUACGCUAAUACCGCAUAUUCUGUGAGCAGGAAAGCAGGGGAUCGCAAGACCUUGCGCUGAUUGAGCGGCCGAUAUCAGAUUAGCUAGUUGGUGAGGUAAAGGCUCACCAAGGCGACGAUCUGUAGCGGGUCUGAGAGGAUGAUCCGCCACACUGGAACUGAGACACGGUCCAGACUCCUACGGGAGGCAGCAGUGGGGAAUUUUGGACAAUGGGCGCAAGCCUGAUCCAGCCAUGCCGCGUGAGUGAAGAAGGCC
rnacentral:rRNA from 1 species